rfam:West Nile virus strain Sarafend, complete genome.
CUGGGAUAGACUAGGGGAUCUUCUGCUCUGCACAACCAGCCACACGGCACAGUGCGCCGAUAUAGGUGGCUGGUGGUGCUAGAACACAGGAUCU